rnacentral:rRNA from 1 species
UACGUAGGAGGCGAGCGUUAUCCGGAUUUAUUGGGCGUAAAGCGCGUGCAGGUGGUUUGGUAAGUUGGGUAUGAAAUCUUCUGGCUUAACUAGGAGAGGUUGCUCAAAACUGCCAGACUAGAGGACGAUAGAGGAAGGUGGAAUUCCCGGUGUAGUAGUGAAAUGCGUAGAUAUCGGGAGGAACACCAGUGGCGAAGGCGGCCUUCUGGGUCGUUCCUGACACUAAGACGCGAAGUAUGGGUAGCAAACGGGAUUAGAUACCCUAGUA